AACGAACGCUGGCGGCAUGCCUAACACAUGCAAGUCGAACGAAGGCUUCGGCCUUAGUGGCGCACGGGUGCGUAACGCGUGGGAACCUGCCCCUCGGUUCGGAAUAACAGUUAGAAAUGACUGCUAAUACCGGAUGAUGACUUCGGUCCAAAGAUUUAUCGCCGAGGGAUGGGCCCGCGUAGGAUUAGCUAGUUGGUGGGGUAAAGGCCUACCAAGGCGACGAUCCUUAGCUGGUCUGAGAGGAUGAUCAGCCACACUGGGACUGAGACACGGCCCAGACUCCUACGGGAGGCAGCAGUGGGGAAUAUUGGACAAUGGGCGAAAGCCUGAUCCAGCAAUGCCGCGUGAGUGAUGAAGGCCUUAGGGUUGUAAAGCUCUUUUACCAGGGAUGAUAAUGACAGUACCUGGAGAAUAAGACUCCGGCUAACUCCGUGCCAGCAGCCGCGGUAAAGU
rnacentral:rRNA from 1 species